UACAGAGGCCUCGAGCGUUGUUCGGAAUUACUGGGCGUAAAGGGAAUGUAGGCGGUGACGUAAGUCAGAUGUGAAAGCCCUGGGCUUAACCCGGGAAGUGCAUUUGAUACUGUGUCGCUGGAGUGCGAGAGAGGAAAGUGGAAUUCCCAGUGUAGGGGUGAAAUCCGUAGAUAUUGGGAGGAAUACCGAUGGCGAAGGCAGCUUUCUGGCUCGUAACUGACGCUGAGAUUCGAAAGCGUGGGUAGCAAACAGG
rnacentral:rRNA from 1 species